rnacentral:rRNA from 1 species
UACGGAGGGGGCGAGCGUUAUUCGGAAUUAUUGGGCGUAAAGGGCGCGUAGGCGGCCCGGUAAGUCAAAGGUGAAAUCCCUCGGCUCAACUGAGGAACUGCCUUUGAAACUGUCGGGCUUGAGGCCGGGAGGGGGUAGCGGAAUUCCCAGUGUAGCGGUGAAAUGCGUAGAUAUUGGGAGGAGCACCGGUGGCGAAGGCGGCUACCUGGACCGGUUCUGACGCUGAUGCGCGAAAGCGUGGGUAGCAAACAGG